AAGCUGCAUUGGUGGAUCACUUGGCUCAUGGGUCGAUGAAGAACGCAGUGAAUUGCGUUAAUAAGUACGAAUUACAGAUAUUAUGAGUGCCUUGUUUUCGAAUGCAUAUUGCGUCGUUGGUCUCGGACCUUCGACAUAUUCAGCUCAGGGUCUUUUCCAAAAAAGCGAAUCACAAAUGGUAGUGCAUAUAUAAAGGAUUCGCGAGACGAGUUGCGGUGUUCUGUUGAAUAGACGGAACGCAUGCUAUGAAAGCGCGUGGCGACGCCCGGUGGUUGGAUAGCAGUCUAUGGGGACCGUGAGUGUUCGACGAUGCUGUUCGGCUGCCGAGUGUUGUUCAUGUGGCGAACUGAACUUGAUACUUGACUUUCUAAAUGUAUCAUUGA
rnacentral:misc_RNA from 1 species